rnacentral:rRNA from 1 species
UACGUAGGGUGCGAGCGUUGUCCGGAAUUAUUGGGCGUAAAGAGCUCGUAGGCGGUUUGUCGCGUCUAUCGUGAAAACUAGCAGCUUAACUGUUGGCGUGCGGUGGAUACGGGCAGACUUGAGUUCGGUAGGGGAGACUGGAAUUCCUGGUGUAGCGGUGAAAUGCGCAGAUAUCAGGAGGAACACCGGUGGCGAAGGCGGCUUUCUGGGCCUUACCUGACGCUGAGGAGCGAAAGCUGGGGGAGCGAACAGG